GGGACGAAGUCCCCCCCCCCCAACAAACAGAAAUAGUAAACAGUGAUAAGAAGUAUUCCUUUGUGAAUCUGGUGAAUCGUGAUUUCAGUUUAAUAAUCAUACUUAAAAGUAUUAAAAAUGGUUGCUGAUAAUUUGAAGGACAGACUGAAGAACAGAGAGCUCAACCUCAGUUCGUGCGGAUUGAAAGAAAUAGCUCUAAAAGAAACCAUACCUACGCCAAACAAGUUGGCUCAAAACAUCAUCACUCAUGUCAGCAAAAGUGAACUAUAGUAUAGAAGAAUUAUUCUUAUCUUAGAAGUUAGAAUUGACUCAGCUCAUGUUACAAAAAGCUGAAGAGCAAAGUAAACUGAAAGAAAAUGCCCUCAGUAGAGGCAGUAGCAUAAAACGUAACGUUCUAACGUAGUCGAUGACAAAGAAGAAAAUAAUUCAUCACUUGGUAUAUUCAACUGUGUUAAUCUAUUAAUCCUUUAUUACGAAUCAAAUUAGCAUCGUGUUAGAAUAGCUAGAUUUCUGAUGUGCUUAUUGAGUUGUCUCAUCGUUGAUCGAGUCAUAAUAUUAUGUAGAUACGAGUAAUCGUUGUACCCGCAUUGUUAUUUCCCAUUUUUAUGUUGUGCUUUUCCGCGAUUUUAAUUUUUUGUCAACUUUUUUUAAAAAUUACAAGUAAAAGUUGAGUUGUUCAUUUUCAGACUCAUUCCGUUAUUCUAUGUACAGUUACUGUAAUACAUGAUCUUGUGCGUUUCUA